CAGCCGCCACGGUAAAACGGAGGGUGCAAGCGUUGUCCGGAUUUAUUGGGUUUAAAGGGUGCGUAGGCGGCUAUUUAAGUCAGCGGUGAAAGACUCCGGCUCAACCGGAGCAGUGCCAUUGAUACUGGAUAGCUUGAGCGUUGGAGGGGUACAUGGAAUUGAUGGUGUAGCGGUGAAAUGCAUAGAUACCAUCAGGAACACCGAUAGCGAAGGCAUUGUACUGGCCAACAACUGACGCUGAGGCACGAAAGCAUGGGGAGCGAACAGGAUUAGAUACCCCGGUAGUCCCUGUCUCUUAUAC
rnacentral:rRNA from 1 species